GAAGGGCUGUGUUUCAGUGGAAUAGCCUCUGCCUGGCAUGCAGAAGAUCGUAAGUUCAAUCCCUGGCAUCUUCA
rnacentral:tRNA from 1 species